CCAAGGCCCACUUGAGCUCCUCCUGCUGAUGUCAGACGGUGAGAUUUCUCAACCUGCACUCUAUUAGCCAUGGUCACAAAGUCUUUGUGCCAGGAUUCUUCCCUUUGUAAAUGUGAAAGCGGCUUGUACAAUCUAUUCACAGACUUGCUCUGCUGCUUUGUAGCCCAACUGAUUAUGUACUCUUGAUCGUCCUCA